rnacentral:lncRNA from 1 species
UGUUGUUUUCUUUAUGAUCAAUUUCUAAAGAAGGAAGGUCUAAAUCAGUCUUCCCAACUACCUGGACUGCUCCUUCAGAAAAAUCAAGACAAUCAGGGGAAGAAUUCUUGACAGCGAAGGGCGUCCUUCUAGCUGCUACCUCAGGGGUAUUUAGUGACAAAUAGGCCAACUUGCUCAUCAGAGAUUCAACCUUAUCGCUAAAUGGGGUUAAGCUGACUUCUUCUACCUGACUGUUUAGUUGGUCCACUUGAUUCGCACAAACAUUUUUCUUUGUAUUUGUUUUCUUGAGAGUAUUCAAAUCAUCCUUGACAUCUAUUCUGCCUUCAUCCCCUGUCAGGCACGAUGGCAUUAUUUCAGCACCCUUGAUAGUUGAGUCCUCAACUUGAUCAAUCUUGGUAUUUUUGAAGUCACCAUUUAAAC